UACGGAGGGUGCAAGCGUUAUCCGGAUUCACUGGGUUUAAAGGGUGCGUAGGUGGUUUGAUAAGUCAGUGGUGAAAUCCCCGAGCUUAACUUGGGAACUGCCAUUGAUACUAUUGAUCUUGAAUACCGUGGAGGUCAGCGGAAUAUGUCAUGUAGCGGUGAAAUGCUUAGAUAUGACAUAGAACACCAAUGGCGAAGGCAGCUGGCUACGCGAAUAUUGACACUGAUGCACGAAAGCGUGGGGAUCAAACAGG
rnacentral:rRNA from 1 species